AUAAGCUAAAUAAAGGGCGUAUGGGGAAUGCCUAGGCUCUCAGAGGCGAAGAAGGACGUGAUAAGCUGCGAAAAGCUGCGGGGACUGGCACAUACAGGUUGAUCCGCAGAUAUCCGAAUGGGGCAACCCACUAUACUGAAGGUAUAGUAUCCGCAAGGAGGCGAA
rnacentral:rRNA from 1 species